rnacentral:tRNA from 1 species
UGCCCCUGUAGCCCAAUCGGUAGAGGCGCUAGAUUUAGGAUCUAGUUAGUGCUGGUUCGAUGCCAGUCAGGGGUAU